rnacentral:lncRNA from 1 species
GGCUCUACAAUAUUCAUGAUUAGAUUGAUAACAUGACAUUGUAUCCCGAGGGCUCUACGAUGUCCAUGAUUAGGGUGGAGACGGUGAUAUUGCAUCAUGAGGGUUGUGCAAUAAUCACACAACCAUGAUCUUGAGGGCUCUCAUGGCAACCAACAAAAAUCCUAUGAUCCUGAGGGCUCUCAUAGGCGGUUUAGUUGGUGGAAAUUCUUUUCGAUCAGAUGUGCAUUUUGUUGAAUAAAAC